CAGUAGGGAAUCUUCCGCAAUGGACGAAAGUCUGACGGAGCAACGCCGCGUGAGUGAUGAAGGUUUUCGGAUUGUAAAACUCUGUCUUUAGGGAAGAGGUCUUGAAUGCUAAUAGUAUUCAAGGUGACGGUACCUAAGGAGGAAGCUCCGGCUAACUACGUGCCAGCAGCCGCGGUAAUACGUAGGGAGCAAGCGUUGUCCGGAAUUACUGGGCGUAAAGAGCGUGUAGGCGGCUCUUUAAGUCAGAUGUGAAAACUCAAGGCUCAACCUUGAGAUUGCAUCUGAAACUAGAGAGCUUGAGUGCAGGAGAGGGAAGUGGAAUUCCUAGUGUAGCGGUGAAAUGCGUAGAUAUUAGGAGGAACACCAGUGGCGAAGGCGACUUCCUGGCCUGUAACUGACGCUGAGACGCGAAAGCGUGGGGAGCGAACAGGAUUAGAUACCCUGGUAGUCCACGCCGUAAACGAUGGGUACUAGGUGUAGGAGGUAUCGACCCCUUCUGUGCCGUAGCAAACGCAAUAAGUACCCCGCCUGGGGAGUACGACCGCAAGGUUGAAACUCAAAGGAAUUGACGG
rnacentral:rRNA from 1 species